rnacentral:rRNA from 1 species
CCUGAACGCUGGCGGCGUGGCUAAGACAUGCAAGUCGCACGGUGUAGCAAUACACAGUGGCGAACGGGUGAGUAAUGUAUCGCUAAUGUGCCCCGGACUUUGGGAUAGCUGCCCGAAAGGGCAGGUAAUACCAGAUGAGACCACGAACAGGCAUCUGUUUGUGCUCAAAGGUCCGCCGGUCUGGGAGCAGGCGAUAUCGUAUCAGCUAGUUGGUGAGGUAACGGCUCACCAAGGCGACGACGCGUAGCUGGUCUGAGAGGACGGCCAGCCACAUCGG